GGAAGAGGAAUCCUGGGGAGGCCCAGAGUCUCCGGGUCGGGGCAGGAGGAAGAGCGGCUGGUCUUCAUCACCGGCUGGAGCUCCUCUUUCUCCCACCAGCUAAAAACAGAAACAGGCCUUUCUGGAAUGUAGGUGAUCCGUAUGUGCUGACAGCGCUCCCUGUCCUUUGAACUGAGGAAAUCUGGGAGGUCGUUCACCUGCACAGAGGCAGAGAGACGGAAACGGGAGCCAAGCGUUUAUUUAUUCAGCGAGUUUCACUAACAGAGAUCGUCCAGGUGAGCUGCUGCAGCCAUGAUGGCGCCGUCAGACUCCAGCAGUAAUCCGUCACGUUAGCACAGUCGGGAUUAUUGCUAAGCGUCUGACAUAACAACAAGCUGUGGGAAUCACAGAUUUAGCUGCCAGCUUUCUGACUCUUUAAGUUGUGUUGUACUGACGUUAAACCUGUUUUCAGCUCCUGCACUGGGUCAGUCUGUUUAAAAAUUAUUUGCAAUCAGCGACUCGAAUCAUAAUCAGCUUCUGGUUGGAGUCUGAAAAUAGAUUCCUUUUUAUUCCUGUUUGAUUACAUUGAUUGAAAUGUUUUUUAUGUGAGUUUAAAUUAAAUGGCUUGCAGUACAAGAGGCUAACUACUGUUAGGUGUGGCUAAUGCCAGAGAAUGUGUAAUCAAACAAAAGAGCGAAUCCUGGUUCAUUUAAAAACCUCGGUUUGACCGCUCCAAAAGCAGGAAGUGGACUACAGCGCAGGGCAUUCUGGGUAAAUACAACCUAAAGAAACGCGCUAGCUUAAUGCUAGCAGGAGAAGUGGCUCAUGGUCUUUAAGGCCACUCCGUGUUUCUUUACAUGUUGUGAAGAAGGAAGUUGCUCUCAGUGUCUUCAGAGGUCUUUGUGUCGUUUCCUUUAGUGAUUCUUGG